UAGUAAUACGUCAGCGGCAGACGGGUGAGUAACGCGUGGGAACGUACCUUUUGGUUCGGAAUAGCUCAGGGAAACUUGAAUUAAUACCGGAUAAGCCCUUACGGGGAAAGAUUUAUCGCCGAAAGAUCGGCCCGCGUCUGAUUAGCUAGUUGGUGAGGUAACGGCUCACCAAGGCGACGAUCAGUAGCUGGUCUGAGAGGAUGAUCAGCCACAUUGGGACUGAGACACGGCCCAAACUCCUACGGGAGGCAGCAGUGGGGAAUAUUGGACAAUGGCCGCAAGCCUGAUCCAGCCAUGCCGCGUGAGUGAUGAAGGCCCUAGGGUUGUAAAGCUCUUUUGUGCGGGAAGAUAAUGACGGUACCGCAAGAAUAAGCCCCGGCUAACUUCGUGCCAGCAGCCGUGGUAAUACGAAGGGGGCUAGCGUUGCUCGGAAUCACUGGGCGUAAAGGGUGCGUAGGCGGGUCUUUAAGUCAGGGGUGAAAUCCUGGAGCUCAACUCCAGAACUGCCUUUGAUACUGAGGAUCUUGAGUUCGGGAGAGGUGAGUGGAACUGCGAGUGUAGAGGUGAAAUUCGUAGAUAUUCGCAAGAACACCAGUGGCGAAGGCGGCUCACUGGCCCGAUACUGACGCUGAGGCACGAAAGCGUGGUGAGCAAACAGGAUUAGAUACCCUGGUAGUCCACGCCGUAAACGAUGAAUGCCAGCCGUUAGUGGGUUUACUCACUAGUGGCGCAGCUAACGCUUUAAGCAUUCCGCCUGGGGAGUACGGUCGCAAGAUUAAAACUC
rnacentral:rRNA from 1 species